UAAGGAAUAUUGCGCAAUGGGCGAAAGCCUGACGCAGCGACGCCGCGUGGGGGAUGAAGGUCUUCGGAUUGUAAACCCCUUUCGGGAGGGAAGAUGGAACGAGCAAUCGUUCGGACGGUACCUCCAGAAGCAGCCACGGCUAACUUCGUGCCAGCAGCCGCGGUAAUACGAAGGUGGCAAGCGUUGCUCGGAUUUACUGGGCGUAAAGGGAGCGUAGGCGGUUCGGUAAGCCCUCUGUGAAAUCUCCAGGCUUAACCUGGAACAGUCGGAGGGGACUGCUGGGCUAGAGGACGGGAGAGGAGCGCGGAGUUCCCGGUGUAGCGGUGAAAUGCGUAGAGAUCGGGAGGAAGGCCGGUGGCGAAGGCGGCGCUCUGGAACGUUUCUGACGCUGAGGCUCGAAAGCGUGGGGAGCAAACAGGAUUAGAUACCCUGGUAGUCCACGCCUUAAACUAUGAAUACUAAGUGUCGGCGGUUUACCGCCGGUGCCGCAGCUAACGCAUUAAGUAUUCCGCCUGGGAAGUACGGCCGCAAGGUUG
rnacentral:rRNA from 1 species